rnacentral:lncRNA from 1 species
AAUGAAGCUCAGCAACUACACAGCAUACAUGGCAGCAUCAUAUGCUACGAUGUACUCUACAUCACUAACUGAGUAGACUAAAGUAUCCUGCUUGGAAUUUUUCCAACAAAUUGCUCCUACGAUUAGGGUAUGAUCAACACUUUCUUGUUGUCAUCUUAAUCUGACCGAAAUUGAAACAUCCUCAUAUUUAAAGUCAGUAUUUUCAUAUUUG